GACGAACGCUGGCGGCGUGCCUAAUACAUGCAAGUCGAACGCACUCUCGUUUAGAUUGACGGAGUUUGCUCCUGAUUGAUAAACAUUUGAGUGAGUGGCGGACGGGUGAGUAACACGUGGGUAACCUGCCCUAAAGUGGGGGAUAACAUUUGGAAACAGAUGCUCAUACCGCCUAAAACCUAACACCGCAUGGUGUAGGGUUGAAAGAUGGUUUCGGCUAUCACUUUAGGAUGGACCCGCGGUGCAUUAGUUAGUUGGUGAGGUAAAGGCUCACCAAGACCGUGAUGCAUAGCCGACCUGAGAGGGUAAUCGGCCACACUGGGACUGAGACACGGCCCAGACUCCUACGGGAGGCAGCAGUAGGGAAUCUUCCACAAUGGACGAAAGUCUGAUGGAGCAACGCCGCGUGAGUGAAGAAGGUGUUCGGAUCGUAAAACUCUGUUGUUGGAGAAGAAUGUAUCUGAUAGUAACUGAUCAGGUAGUGACGGUAUCCAAGCAGAAAGCCACGGCUAACUACGUG
rnacentral:rRNA from 1 species